rnacentral:rRNA from 1 species
UGGUUAAAAAGCUCGUAGUUGGAUCUCGGCGGACUGAGGGCGGUUUGCUUGCUAGUAUUACUGCCCUAUAGUCCGUAGUUUUGCCAGAGGUUUCGGGGUGCUCUUAAUCGAGUGUCCCGGGAUGCUGGCAGGUUUACUUUGAAAAAAUUAGAGUGCUCAAAGCAGGCUAUUACGCCUGAAUAUUCGUGCAUGGAAUAAUAGAAUAGGAAGUCGUUUCUAUUUUGUUGGUUUUCGGAAAUCGACUUAAUGAUUAAUAGGGACAGUCGGGGGCAUUUGUAUUCAAACGACAGAGGUGAAAUUCUUGGACCGUUUGAAGACAAACUACUGCGAAAGCAUUUGCCAAGAAUGUUUUCAUUAAUCAAGAACGAAAGUUAAAGGUUCGAAGGCGAUUAGAUACCGCCCUAGUUUUAACCAUAAACGAUGCCAGCUAGCGAUCUGCGGACGUUUUUUUUGUAGACUCCGCAGGAAGCUUCCGGGAAACCAAAGCAUUUGGGUUCCAGGGGAAGUAUGGUUGCAAAGCUGAAACUUAAAGGAAUUGACGGAAGGGCACCACCAGGAGUGGAGCCUGUGGCUUAAUUUGACUCAACACGGGGAAACCUCACCAGGCCCGGGACACUGGGAAGGAUUGAC